rnacentral:tRNA from 1 species
GGUGUGGCUCAGUGGUAGAGUACUCCCCUAGCAUGUGCGAAUCCCUGGGUUCAAUCCUCAGCACAACA